rnacentral:rRNA from 1 species
UACGUAGGGGGCUAGCGUUGUCCGGAAUCAUUGGGCGUAAAGAGCGUGUAGGCGGCCCGGUAAGUCCGCUGUGAAAGUCGGGGGCUCAACCCUCGAAUGCCGGUGGAUACUGUCGGGCUAGAGUGCGGAAGAGGCGAGUGGAAUUCCUGGUGUAGCGGUGAAAUGCGCAGAUAUCAGGAGGAACACCGAUUGCGAAGGCAGCUCGCUGGGACGUAACUGACGCUGGAGACGCGAAAGCGUGGGGAGCAAACGGG